rnacentral:rRNA from 1 species
UACAUGCAGUCGAGCGGACAGAUGGGAGCUUGCUCCCUGAUGUUAGCGGCGGACGGGUGAGUAACACGUGGGUAACCUGCCUGUAAGACUGGGAUAACUCCGGGAAACCGGGGCUAAUACCGGAUGCUUGUUUGAACCGCAUGGUUCAAACAUAAAAGGUGGCUUCGGCUACCACUUACAGAUGGACCCGCGGCGCAUUAGCUAGUUGGUGAGGUAAUGGCUCACCAAGGCAACGAUGCGUAGCCGACCUGAGAGGGUGAUCGGCCACACUGGGACUGAGACACGGCCCAGACUCCUACGGGAGGCAGCAGUAGGGAAUCUUCCGCAAUGGACGAAAGUCUGACGGAGCAACGCCGCGUGAGUGAUGAAGGUUUUCGGAUCGUAAAGCUCUGUUGUUAGGGAAGAACAAGUACCGUUCGAAUAGGGCGGUACCUUGACGGUACCUAACCAGAAAGCCACGGCUAACUACGUGCCAGCAGCCGCGGUAAUACGUAGGUGGCAAGCGUUGUCCGGAAUUAUUGGGCGUAAAGGGCUCGCAGGCGGUUUCUUAAGUCUGAUGUGAAAGCCCCCGGCUCAACCGGGGAGGGUCAUUGGAAACUGGGGAACUUGAGUGCAGAAGAGGAGAGUGGAAUUCCACGUGUAGCGGUGAAAUGCGUAGAGAUGUGGAGGAACACCAGUGGCGAAGGCGACUCUCUGGUCUGUAACUGACGCUGAGGAGCGAAAGCGUGGGGAGCGAACAGGAUUAGAUACCCUGGUAGUCCACGCCGUAAACGAUGAGUGCUAAGUGUUAGGGGGUUUCCGCCCCCUUAGUGCUGCAGCU